GCUUGGUCAAGGCUGCGUUGUUCAGCCAUUGGUGCUGUGCAUGGUGUCAGCUGCAUGGAGCUGAAACCAAUGGCUGCAGCAGCAGGAUAUCUGACGCUACCCCUCCCUCACUCCCUACUUGCGUAGCUGUUGCGCUUGUCAGGAAAAUUAUGGUUUUGAGACAAAGUGCCUGCAACCCCAAGUUCAGAAAAGACGGUUAGUAAAUGUGAAUAAAAGCUGGCGUACAACUGUUCUGCAGCAGCACCGCUCAGAGUGAAUGAGAGUUUGUCUGAUAAUGCUCCUAGUUCUGAGGCUCCAGCUGGCUGCCUGUCUGUGUAGAGAAAGUCCUUUUCGUUCCAAGGAACGUAGCUUGGCUAUUCCAAAAUUGUCUCUGUUUGAAUCCCGGAGUUGGACCUGGUGCAGAGAGAAAAGAUCUUUGCCACCUUCAGGCAGAGCAUCAGUUUGGGAUAAGGCAAAGGCUGUAUGGGUUCCUGCCUUCCCAGGACUUUCAUAUUGGAGUUUGGAUUGGAGACUGUACGAUUCUGUGGCCCUGUCUUGGAGACGUGGUAUGUCCGAGGAGGGCAGCGGACAGCCCUGCUCAGUCGCAGCUGCCUCUUCUUGCAGUGGAACUUCCAAGAACACAGACAUGCAGAAGCUAUUGAAAAUGUUUACAAAGACCUGAUUUUAGCAUAGCUCUGUUAAUUACCAUUAAUUUUACUAAUCUUUCUCAACUCAUAAGUCUGCAUGUUAUAGCAUACCUUUUUCUCUAGCCCUUUCCUGUCAGAAAGGAGGCAUUUGCAAUUGAAAUGCAUCUCCGACUACUAAAGGUCUAUUCUUCAGCCCUUUUACCUAGCGCAGCUGUUACGGCUGUGCAGCCUUGCUGCCUUGUCCUCCACAGGGAGUUCCUGGUUGCUCCUUUCUAGGGAAAGGACUUUUGUCAUGCCGCUGGGCAACUGGGGGGUCUGGAGUUAAGGACAACGUCAGCUCUCUCUUUGCUUCUGCUGUUUGAGACUUAUGCUGUUGAAAUGUCCUUUCUUGGUGAUGUUCUUCUAAUUCAGCCAGCACAUACCUGGCAGUCUGGAGAUCUCAGCCAAAAGCGCCUCGCCAGGCGAAGCCGCGAGCACAAGCAGAGCGUGCCUGCAAGGAUAUUACCAGUGGACUGCAGCUUCCCUUCGAGGCACAGCCUCAUCUAAGGCAGAGGUGAAACAUGAGGCAGACCCGUUCCCCAUCCUGAGCUCGGCAGCCACUGCAGGUCUCUCCCACGUCCAAGACGAAGAGGGCGCUUGGAGAACGUGGCAGCCCCCAGAACCUCCGGGAGGCAGCAGCUCUCGUGGGGAUGCAAAGGAGACGAGUGGGAACGCGCACCCAGCAAGGGGCUUCUGGGGGCGCAGUAGGCACCUUAGGGAGUAGUCUGUGUGUUGCAGUAAUCUCCUUGCCUUGCAUACGGAUGUAGUCAGACAUUUUAGUGAUACGGAAGGCUGCAGAAAUGAUCAAGACAUGAUUCAGAGCAAAUCGUAUCACUCAGCCUUAGGCUGAUCAAUUACCCUUCAAUAACCACCACUUGCUGAGCCCAGUCCAGGCGUUAUCUGUGCUCUGCUUCAGUUCUUGGCUUCCUGGGAGGACUGUGCCCAACAGAGCAAGAGAGAGCUCUGGCGGAAGGCUGCAGCAUUUGCUUGAAUAAUACCUGAUAUUUCUUGCCUUUGAGAGGAAAAGUAAGCCAAAUUAUCCACAUGCAAGAAUGAUACAGACCUGGGAGUCUGCCUCUGUCCAGAACACCGUUCCAGAAUGCAUCCAGCAACUUUUCAGCGCGGCUUUGAACAGAGGAAAGAAUGAAACAGGUUGAAGCAAAAGAAGAGGAAAGGCUUCCUAAAUUCAUUUGUUGAAAGUCUGUCUGAAGUCUCUUGAGACAUCUUUGUAAGUCCAGAGCCAUACAGUCAGUUCACCAGCUUGGGGAGGGGAAAAGGGAUAGUGUGAAUUGACUAGUGAAAAACCUGUGCAAUAAUUAGGAUGUUGGUUGCCAGAAAAGGAAGG